ACCCGCUGAACUUAAGCAUAUCAAUAAGCGGAGGAAAAGAAACCAACAGAGAUUACCUCAGUAACGGCGAGUGAAGCGGUAACAGCUCAAAUUUGAAAUCUGGCCUCACGGUCCGAGUUGUAAUUUGUAGAGGAUGCUUCGAGCAUGGUCUGGCCUAAGUUCCUUGGAACAGGACGUCAUAGAGGGUGAGAAUCCCGUAUGCGGUCAGGUGCCUACGCUCAUGUGAAGCUCCUUCGACGAGUCGAGUUGUUUGGGAAUGCAGCUCAAAAUGGGUGGUAAAUUUCAUCUAAAGCUAAAUAUUGGCCAGAGACCGAUAGCGCACAAGUAGAGUGAUCGAAAGAUGAAAAGCACUUUGGAAAGAGAGUUAAACAGUACGUGAAAUUGUUGAAAGGGAAGCGCUUGCAACCAGACUUGCGCGCGGCCGAUCAUCCGGUGUUCUCACCGGUGCACUCGGCCGUGCUCAGGCCAGCAUCGGUUUCGGCGGUUGGAUAAAGGCCUCAGGAAUGUGGCUCCUCUCGGGGAGUGUUAUAGCCUGGGGUGCAAUGCAGCCUGCUGGGACCGAGGACCGCGCUUCGGCUAGGAUGCUGGCGUAAUGGUUGUAAGCGGCCCGUCUUGAAACACGG
rnacentral:rRNA from 1 species